GGCGGCCUCCAAGGAGGCCGGGAGCAAGCAGGCUCCUCCGCCGCCUCUCCCGCAGCCAGUGAGUCAGGCAGCGAGCUGCCAGCCAGGAACAAAAGAAUCACACAGCUGGGUGCUUGUUCGUCCAUUUUGGUUCCCAAGCACAUGCUCUGUAGAUGGUUCUUUACACCUGACAAACAGCACUUUGAACAGUACCUGGAGAGAACCAGUGGGCCUGUCCCCUGGCUCACACUGAGGAACCACUGUCUUCUAUAGCAGAAAGAGCCCAAGCAGAAAGAAGCUACAGAACACCAUUGCUCGAAGCAAACCAAGCUGGACUCUCCUCUAAGUUUCUUUCGUUGCUUAAGUCCCAUGUAUUCUCCUCCAACUACUAAGUAGGAGAUGGUACAGGGGUAACCCACUAAUAAUGGUAAUAGGUUUCCUUCCAGGUAAAAAAAAUUUUUAAAUGUAAAUUUUCUUGCAGACCAUAGGUUUUGAGUAUUUGUUAAAUGAAUGAAUAAAUGGGAAUGAGUGUGAUUUUCUAUGGUAUAUAAUGAUUUUAGGGUUUUCUGUAUAUAGUAUUGUGUCAAGUGCAAAUAGUAUAAAAUUUACUUCUUCCUUAAAAAUUUAGAUACCUUUUAUUUCCUUUUCUUGUCUAAUUACUAUGGCUGGGAUUCCCAGUACUAUGUUGAGUAAAGGUGGUGAGAGUGGACAUUUUUGUCUUGUUCCUGGUUUUAGAGGAAAAACUCUCAGUUUUUUUUUACCUUUGAGUAUGGCAUUAGCUAUGCGUUUUUCAUAUACGGCUUUUAUUAUAUUAAGGUAUAUUCCCUCUAAAACUACUUUGUUGAGAAUUUUAUAUCAAUGAAUUUUAUCCCAUGAAUGGAUAUUGUACUUUGUCAACUGCUUUUUCUGUGUCUAUUGAGAUUAUCAUAUUUUUUCCUUUCUCUUGUUAAAGUAAUAUAUCACGUUGAUUGAUUUGUAAUAAAUUCCACUUGCUUGUGUUGAA